CCUGCUGUAGUUCAGUGGACAGAGCAUCGAGCUUCUACCUCGAUAGUCGCUGGUUCGAAUCCAGCCAGCAGGA
rnacentral:tRNA from 1 species